UGCGGUGGUCUACCCAGCUGG
rnacentral:misc_RNA from 1 species